AAGUAAAGUUGACUAAUGGUAAGUCAUUAGGCCCAUUACCUAAAUAUAUUGGUUCGAAUCCAUUCUUUACAUUUCCCCUUU
rnacentral:tRNA from 1 species